rnacentral:rRNA from 1 species
AGUGAACGCUGGCGGUAGGCCUAACACAUGCAAGUCGAACGGCAGCACAGUAAGAGCUUGCUCUUACGGGUGGCGAGUGGCGGACGGGUGAGGAAUACAUCGGAAUCUACUUUUUCGUGGGGGAUAACGUAGGGAAACUUACGCUAAUACCGCAUACGACCUACGGGUGAAAGCAGGGGAUCUUCGGACCUUGCGCGAUUGAAUGAGCCGAUGUCGGAUUAGCUAGUUGGCGGGGUAAAGGCCCACCAAGGCGACGAUCCGUAGCUGGUCUGAGAGGAUGAUCAGCCACACUGGAACUGAGACACGGUCCAAACUCCUACGAGAGGCAGCAGUGGGGAAUAUUGGACAAAGGGCGCAAGCCUGAUCCAGCCAUACCGCGUGGGUGAAGAAGGCCUUCGGGUUGUAAAACCCUUUUGUUGGGAAAGAAAAGCAGCAGGUUAAUACCCCGCUGUUCUGACGGUACCCAAAGAAUAAGCACCGGCUAACUUCGUG